rnacentral:rRNA from 1 species
CGACUCUCGGCAACGGAUAUCUCGGCUCUCGCAUCGAUGAAGAACGCAGCAAAAUGCGAUACUUGGUGUGAAUUGCAGAAUCCCGUGAACCAUCGAGUUUUUGAACGCAAGUUGCGCCCGAAGCCUCUGUGCUGAGGGCACGUCUGCCUGGGCGUCACG